UAGAUCCCAUUUGUCAAUUUUGGCUUUCGUUGCCAUUGCUUUUGGUGUUUUAGUCAUGAAGUCUUUGCCCGUUCCUAUGCCCUGAAUGGUAUUGCUUAGGUUUUCUUUAGCUUUCUGUGUCGGAGUCCAGGUUUUUUAUGGCCUCAGAAUGGGGGAGUGUGUGCUGAUUGGUCCAUGGGCAGGCCUGAACAAAAGCACCAUUUGAUUGGCUAAAAGGCACUGAGAAAGUUCUCACUCUGGUCAUGAACUCCACCCAGAACUGGCCGCUCAGUUUUCAGGUUUUAAACUGCCGUUGACUUGAAGGUUGAGUUUCACUGGGGACCUACCCCUAUCUGCCUAGUAAUCUGUGUCUCCUGUAGCUAUCAUCAUCACUGAUUUUCUAUGUACAGAUUUCAAUUCCAAACAAAAAUAUAUGAGAAUGUUCAUUUCUCCAUACAACUGUUUUUAGAGGAGUCAUGUUCAGAGAGGCCUAUUCAUUUAUAUCUUCUCCAAAUUUUCUUGUCACUAAGUCACCAUGCAACCUGAGAUGCCCAUCAUGAAGUGGAUGCUCUUUGACCCAUCAAGCCAUAAAUUUAGGUGUGUAUAGCAACACUCCAUCAUUAAAUGGAAGCAGUAUAUAUGUAAUUCCUGAAGGCAUAAGUAAGUUACAUUUAAAAAUGGCCCAAAUGAUUGUGAUCCCCACUUGGGCUACACUGCCUUCUUUCGGCCAGUCUGCAUGUAUGCUUCCACUGGGAAGCAUUCCACUGAACUGGAAAUUCAGACUCUUGCCUGGCCAUUUUCUACUCUUCAU
rnacentral:lncRNA from 1 species